rnacentral:rRNA from 1 species
GCUUAGAGUUUGAUCCUGGCUCAGGAUGAACGCUGGCGGCGUGCCUAACACAUGCAAGUCGAACGGACUCUUCGGAGUCAGUGGCGGACGGGUGAGUAACGCGUGAGAACCUGCCUCUAGGAGGGGGAUAACAGCGGGAAACGGCUGCUAAUACCCCAUGAGCCGUAAGGUAAAAAGGAAUCCGCCUAGAGAGGGGCUCGCGUCCGAUUAGCUAGUUGGGGAGGUAAAAGCUCACCAAGGCGACGAUCGGUAGCUGGUCUGAGAGGAUGAGCAGCCACACUGGGACUGAGACACGGCCCAGACUCCUACGGGAGGCAGCAGUGGGGAAUUUUCCGCAAUGGGCGAAAGCCUGACGGAGCAACGCCGCGUGAGGGAAGAAGGCCUUUGGGUUGUAAACCUCUUUUCUCAGGGAAGAAGUUCUGACGGUACCUGAGGAAUCAGCCUCGGCUAACUCCGUGCCAGCAGCCGCGGUAAUACGGAGGAGGCAAGCGUUAUCCGGAAUUAUUGGGCGUAAAGCGUUCGUAGGCGGCCGUUCAAGUCUGCUGUCAAAGUCCGAGGCUCAACUUCGGGAAGGCAGUGGAAACUGAACAGCUAGAGGUCGGAAGGGGCAGAGGGAAUUCCCAGUGUAGCGGUGAAAUGCGUAGAUAUUGGGAAGAACACCGGUGGCGAAAGCGCUCUGCUGGGCCGAACCUGACGCUGAGGGACGAAAGCUAGGGGAGCGAAUGGGAUUAGAUACCCCAGUAGUCCUAGCCGUAAACGAUGGAGACUAGGUGUUGCCUGUAUCGACCCGGGCAGUGCCGAAGCCAACGCGUUAAGUCUCCCGCCUGGGGAGUACGCACGCAAGUGUGAAACUCAAAGGAAUUGACGGGGGCCCGCACAAGCGGUGGAGUAUGUGGUU